GUCUUAUUUAAAAUUUUUAUAGAAUUUUAUUUUUUAGUUAAAAAGCUAAAAUUUAUUCAAAAGACGAGAAGACCCUAUAAAUCUUAAUUAUUUAAUAAGUUUUAAUUUAUAUAGAAUGAUUUUAUUAUUAUUGUUUUAAAUAAUUUUAUUGGGGUGAUAUUAAAAUUUAAUUAACUUUUAAUAAUUUAUAAAUCAUUUAUUUAUGAUUAAUUGAUCCAUUUUUAGUGAUUAUAAAAUUAAGUUACUUUAGGGAUAACAGCGUAAUUUUUUUGGAGAGUUCUUAUCGAUAAAAAAGUUUGCGACCUCGAUGUUGGAUUAAGAUUCAUAUUUAAAUGUAGAAGUUUAAAUAUUAAGUCUGUUCGACUUUUAUAUCUUACAUGAUCUGAGUUCAAACCGGUGUAAGCCAGGUUGGUUUCUAUCUUUGAUUUGUUAAAAUAUUUUAGUACGAAAGGAAUAAAUAUUUAUUUUUAAAAAAUUUAUUUAUGAAU
rnacentral:rRNA from 1 species